rnacentral:rRNA from 1 species
ACUUCAUUCUGCUAAAUAGUACACGCGUAACUUUGUGUAGUCACUGCUCGUCUGUGCCUUGUGUAUGGAUGUGUUAGUGCUGCAUAAGCGUGUGAGACUUCUUAGAGGGACAGGUGGACAUGUAAACCACACGAAAAGAAGCAAUAACAGGUCUGUGAUGCCCUUAGAUGUCCGGGGCCGCACGCGUGCUACAAUGACAGUGUUAGAGAGUUUGAUGAUCUCAUUCGAAAGGAUGGGGCAAACUUUUCAAUCACUGCCAUGACUGGGAUCGGGGUUUGUAAUUAUCCCCCGUGAACGAGGAAUUCCUAGUAAGUACAAGUCAUAAGCUUGUGCUGAUUACGUCCCUGCCCUUUGUACACACCGCCCGUCGCUACUACCGAUUGAAUGGUUUAGCAAGGUCAUUGGAUUGACGCUCACGCGGUGUAUAACUGCCGAGUGUUGAGAAGACGACCGAACUUGAUCAUUUAGAGGAAGUACAAGUCGUAAAGG